CUGGCGAUGUCACACACCAUACAAGGGGAAAGGGGGCAGGGCUAAGGGGCAGGACUUUUGGUCCCGCCCAUCUGUCACAUUUGUAUUGAAGGGCGGUGAGCCUAUAUAAUCACUGUGGCACAUUUGU